rnacentral:rRNA from 1 species
UACGUAGGGUGCAAGCGUUGUCCGGAAUUAUUGGGCGUAAAGAGCUCGUAGGCGGUCUGUCGCGUCGGAUGUGAAAACCCAGGGCUCAACCCUGGGCCUGCAUUCGAUACGGGCAGACUAGAGUUCGGUAGGGGAGACUGGAAUUCCUGGUGUAGCGGUGAAAUGCGCAGAUAUCAGGAGGAACACCGGUGGCGAAGGCGGGUCUCUGGGCCAGUUCUGACGCUGAGGAGCGAAAGCGUGGGGAGCGAACAGG